CGUAGGUGAACCUGCGGAGGGAUCAUUGCUGGAACGCGCCCCAGGCGCACCCAGAAACCCUUUGUGAACUUAUACCUUUUGUUGCCUCGGCGCAUGCUGGCCUCUAGUAGGCCCCUCACCCCGGUGAGGAGACGGCACGCCGGCGGCCAAGUUAACUCUUGUUUUUACACUGAAACUCUGAGAAAAAACACAAAUGAAUCAAAACUUUCAACAACGGAUCUCUUGGUUCUGGCAUCGAUGAAGAACGCAGCGAAAUGCGAUAAGUAAUGUGAAUUGCAGAAUUCAGUGAAUCAUCGAAUCUUUGAACGCACAUUGCGCCCUCUGGUAUUCCGGAGGGCAUGCCUGUUCGAGCGUCAUUUCAACCCUCAAGCAUUGCUUGGUGUUGGGGCACUGCUUUUAACGAAGCAGGCCCUGAAAUCUAGUGGCGAGCUCGCCAGGACCCCGAGCGCAGUAGUUAAACCCUCGCUACUGGAAGGCCCUGGCGGUGCCCUGCCGUUAAACCCCCAACUUCUGAAAAUUUGACCUCGGAUCAGGUAGGAAUACCCGCUGAACUUAAGCAUAUCAAU
rnacentral:rRNA from 1 species